rnacentral:other from 1 species
UGCCCCCUGCGGUGUUCGUGUCGUUCUAUGAAGUCCUUAGAACCUAAUGCUCUGUUUCGGGGAGCCGAAUUGUUGAUGCUGUUGCGCAUGUCCGCCUUGCAGCGGAAAGCCUGAAGCCUCGCUGAGGCACCCCACUUGAACCAUGCGGUUCAAGGCGCAAGAGCGAGACGGCACAUGCGGAGGGCAC